CAUUGUCGAAACCUACACAGCAGAACGAUCCGUGAACUAGUGACAACCGACGAGGGGCAGGGGCCACUCGUCGCCCCCUCGCCCCCCACCUCCCCAGCGAGCGGGGACCUCGCGUCUCCCACCCUCAAACCGUACCCCGGUGCGAAAUGCGCCAAGGAAAUCGAACCAAGAGAGCCACGCCGGAAGCCCCGGACAUGAUGCGCCCUCGGUGUUGGCGACUUACGAAUUAUCCUAAACAACUUUCGGCAAUAGAUAUCUAGGCUCUCGCAUUGAUGAAGAACGUAGCAAAAUGCGAUACUUGGUGUGAAUUGCAGAAUCCUGUGAAUCAUUGAGCUUUUGAACGCAUGUGAUGCCCGAAGCCACUCGGCCGAGGGCACGUCUGCCUGGGUGUCAUGCACUGUUAGCCCCCCCCAAACUCUGAGUUCGGGCGAGGCAGAAGUUGGCCUCCAGUGCACACCCACGCGCUUGGUUAGCCCAAAAGCGAGUCCUCGACGACGAGCGCCAUGACAAUCGGUGGGUUUUUGACCCUCAUUUGCCGUCAUGCGCACCCCGCCGCCUGAUCUCAUGGCCCUCGCGUGUCACCCCGGCGGUGCUCAUAAUGCGACCCUAGGUCAGGUAGGACUACCCGCUGAGUUUAAGCAUAU
rnacentral:misc_RNA from 1 species